AUAUACUUAAUUAUUUGAAUUUAAAACUUGUUUUCGAGAAUUUUUUAAGUACACGGAAAUUCAUUACUUUAGACAUUUGGCUACAUUAUACACAAAGUGACUUGAUUAUUACUUGGUUUAUCGAACUGUGACAAAUCGAAGACGAAUACAUUAUCUCAUUGGCGAUACCGGCGCGUUCCAAUUCCUGGUGUCGAGUCUAGGUUACGUUGCUGAGAAGAGCGUUUUACGAUACGACACGACACCCGUAUGACACGAAUACACACGCGAGUCUACGGUAGCAAGUAGAAAGGAAGCGAACGGUCGACCGGCUGACCAACCACAGAUACGCCUUCGGCGGUGGUUGUUUGCCAUAAGUCGUGCAGGUCAUGCACGACGGGUCAGGAGAGAGAAGUCAGUCAUACCGACGCCGUGCUACCAUUCGCGUCAGUGAUUGGUCAAACCUGCGAAAGCUCCUUUUCGAGGAUACCAAACUCGAUCGGUUACCACGCAAAUACAUACGUACAAACGAGCGCGCGAAACUGACUUAGACAAAGGGCCGAAAUUUGCGGGGAAGUUCGUGGAUGCUGCAUACGCGGUAUCUUCAAAUAAAUUUCUCCGUCACGCGACGACGGGUGGGUAGAGGAAAUGAUUAGUGCGAAAGUAUGCAAUGUCGCUUGAAUGAAUGUUGAAAUGAAUCUUAGGUCUGAGUGAUUUUGUUUGGUGAGUGAGUUUGUUUGGUAGUUGUGUGGCAACUUUAGGUGAUAUGAGUGAAUGCGUUUGAAGGAGAAAGUAGAGAAGGCUAAAGUAGGAGAGUAAGAAAAAAAUGGAAGGCAUACAUAAAAAAGUUUUCUUUUUAGCAAAAUGUAUAAAAAAGAUUGUCGGAUAGCUAGUUAAAGUUUGGUUGUUUUCAAAUACCAAAAAGCAGGUCUGUGAGAUAGGAUAGCAAAAUUUACCUUUUAUCAUGAAGAUAUAUAUUUUUCAUUUCAUUGAGCAGUUAAUAGCACUUCAAAGCUUCUAACAUUUAAGAGAUCCUCUUAAUCGAUUAUUUGCUUCUGCUCGAGUUUUUGGUCAAGUUUAUCGAAAUACAUCAAAGAGUCUUUGGAACUUGCUCUCAUCAGUUCGAUAGAAGGAGCAAAAGAGAGAGAGAGAGAGAGAGAGAGAGAGAGAGAGAGAGAGAGAGAGAGAGAGAGAGAGAGAGAGAGGGCGGGGGGCGGCACUUCUGAUGAAAAUACUUUUUCGUUCAUUGUUUUUAUCCUGAAUAACAUUCUUAACUUUGAGCAAACUAUAAACAACCUACACAGGAGAUUUAGCGAUGUAAAACCGUAAAGUUAACGAAAUCGCCCUAGUUGUACAAAGUUAGUGAGAACAGUUUAUCUUUUUAAAGUAUAUUAUGACUGUAACGCUCGAAGGUUGAGUUACAGUUCUACUUACAGUCAAUGCAGCUGACUUUGUACUACUAUUGAGUGUUAUCUGUGGAUCUACUUCUUAUAAUCUAUUUUUUUUUAGAACAAUGUAAAUGUUUGAUCUUGUUUAAAAUUAGACUUUUCAUUUUUGCAUUAUAAAUCAUGUGUAAUUCUCAUAAGUAUUUUUGAAGUUUUGAUUGCCAAUUAUAUUAUAUAAAAUUUACACAAGUGUUACAUAUACUUAAUUAAAUCUAUUGUUUAAAUUGUUGAUUUAUUUUUAAGUGGAUCUGGUAUAUGUGUCACUUUGUAUUAUGAUACAAGUGACGUACAAGUUAAUUUUAGGAAAUUGUUAGUUAUUUUAAGUACAUUUGUAGUUUCAUGUUAACUCGUUUUUUUAUUUUAUCUCUAAAAAUCAGUUAGAAUUUUUACGUUACGAAUCAUUUGCGCAUUGAUUGUAGUCUUUAAACCUUAUAAAAAUUCUGUAUUUGUGCACUAAGAUUGUGUUAUUUUUUAAAAACAAUUUUGUUUUAUUUUUAAAACAAAAAAACUUUGGUAAGGGACGCGUACGAUUGCAUGGAAUCGUCGCGUCUGUCUUUGAAUCGGGGUUAGCGUGCCAGGUGAACCUCAUUUUCUGGUAUUGACCAGAUGGUUGUGGUGCUUUACGGCACCGCCAUCUUAUAACUGUCGUCGAAAGCGUUCUAGCGAUUAUUUUCCUUGUGGUAGACUAGAAAAACUUGUGAAAAAAUAAUUUUUUUUUAAUUUUAUUAAUUUACAAUUUUUAUUAUUGCGUUGAUGUGUAUGUGUCUCUGUGAUUAUUGAGUAAAUAUUCUUAGCGUUUAAAAAAAAUCUAAAAUAUAUUUUGAUUCCUUUAAUAGAACUGUAGCGAAGGUUUAGUGUGAUUUUGUAGAUUAAAUUCAUUUAUCUUCCGAUCAAAUACAGUGGUCACAAGUGAACUUUGGCGGAAUAGAUUGGCUGAUUGCCAAUUCGAUCAGUGGGCUAAGUCCAACCACGUGUUUUACUCUCGUUACAAACUUGCCAACCAUCGACUGUCUUAUUCCGUUUUUAGAAGUUUUUUCCUUUACUCUUAAUUCAUUUCACAAUUGAGCGUUUUAUUCUCAUUGUUAUUUUCUUAUGUUUAAUCAGCUGAUGUUAAGCUGUCAUUAAAUAAUUUUCACUUGGACUAUACGGAAUGUUUUGGGAGUAAAAAUGGGAGCAAAAAAUUAUUGAUGCGGUUAUAAUAAACAAAUAUCUGUUAAAUUUUUUUAUUUUAAUUAUUAAAAUGUUUUUAUUUGUAAAAGAAAGGGAUUAAAAAAAUUGUUUACUGAUUUAUUAGUUAUUAUUAGUUAAAUUGGAAAAAAGCAAGGAAAAAUGAGAAAGAAGUAAAGAACUGUUUACGAAUGAAAUCAUUAUUCGUGCGUGCCUACGGAAGGUUAGUUAUCAGAUUGGCGUGUUGGUUUGCUCGCACACCUUCCACCGACUAAUCGGGGUUAUCCCACUGCCCCUGUUCCACUCCAAGUGUUUCAAGUUUUUCCCCCUCCCACAAUCCUUCUUGACCAUCUAUACUACCCCUCGUCGGUCCGCUGGCGUCUCGUGGUCUGCGGUGCUGCCACCAAUUGGUUCCUUCGAAAAUUAGACACGUGGGAUAAAGGGGGUGAGUUUAUAGUGACACGUUAAAAUCAAAGCUAGCGUGUUCGCAUAGAUGAAUUCAAUCACUAUAAUGUAUUUGGACUUUCCACAUCAAACACUAAGCUUUUCUUGGUAAGUUCAUCAUUAAUUUUCCAAUUGCGUCAUUCACGAUUAUGUCAAUCGAUUUAACGGUGGACUAGUUUAUCGAUGAUCAAGGACGUUUUCAGUAAAUGAAAACGUGGUCGUUACUUGGUGUUACAGAAUUCUUUUCCCUUUCGAUCAAAUCGUGUCAUUCUUGUGCGUCAGUUUCUUCAUUUUUCGUUCUUUACCUCUAGUACGCUUAAUGCACUAUUAUAACUCGUCACCACCCUUUCCUAAUUUCCGUAUAUUGUUGCAUCGUAUUUCAUACGCGCCGCGGUGCUGCCAUCGCGCGGCAAAAGCAAGGGGGCGUAUCUCUCAGAGAGGGAUGCGAGAGGAUGCGAAGGGUGCAUCGCAUCGGGUUAAGCGGCGUGAGUCGGCGUGAUCGCGGGACGGAAGUAGGAUCGCGUCUGAGCAUUGCAGUGUCGUCACCGUGCACGUUGUCACGCGCACCAUCACUCUCGUUGUAGGACUACUCUUGGGUCUUCCUCGCGUUUCCUUUUCCUUUUCGUCUUAGAACGUGCGUCUCAAUCCCUCUCUCAACCUAAAUUUGGAUGAGUGGCGUGUGCGAACUAGGGUGAAAGAGACAGACAGAUCAGUCAGUAGUGACGCGUGCAUGAGGCUGGACAAACCGGCGUGCCGGGUUCCGUCCCGGCUACGCGGCGACAUAUCCUUAGGCCCUUCGUCGUCGUCAUUUUCGCCGCGUUCGCAGAGCGUACCACGGAUCGGUGAUCAUAGAAUCGAGAGGAAUAGGAGCCGUGAGGCGGCGCCGACCGAGAGCGAGCGGAAGGUGCGCGAAAUCGUCGGCAGGGGCAGUUACGGAGAUCGGAGAGGUGGAGUCAUCGCGGGCGGCGAUCAUCGCGGGUUUGAAUGGGUGGGCCGGGCGCCGGUAGGGUUACCAGGCACGAGCUGAACGCGGUGCCCCAGAGCCACGUUGGUCACGGGGAACGUGCCCUUGGUGAGCCACCAGCACCAGGCUGCCGUUGUCACCCUCCGGAACGAUCAUCCGGCAGCGCCGUCCGCCACUCCGCCCAGCAGCUGCCACCCUCGCCGCCACCGCUCACCUCUCUGCAUAUCGGCAACAACGGCACUGUCUGCGCCGUCAUCAGCAGCAAUAACAACCCCGCUAUCAGCAUGAAUCCGAGUGACGGUAAAGUCAAGAAGGCGAAGGCCGCCAUAUCUUCGCCGCCGAAACAUCGCCGGGGCUUCGACCCCAACGACCCGGCGGAAUUUCACCGCUAUCGUCGCGUUAAGACGAAGCAGCGAUCGCUGCCGAAACUCAGCAGCCAGGACGAAGAUGGGACGAACCCCCACACCCAAUACACAGGCGUCACACACUUCGAACCCAUACCGCACGAUCAUGACUUCUGCGAAAGAGUCGUCAUCAACGUGAGCGGGCUACGAUUUGAAACACAGCUGCGUACGCUGAACCAAUUUCCGGACACGCUGCUUGGCGAUCCGACACGGCGACUCCGAUACUUCGAUCCAUUGCGCAACGAAUACUUCUUCGAUCGAAAUCGACCUUCCUUCGAUGCCAUACUCUACUACUAUCAGAGCGGCGGUCGCUUACGCCGUCCGGUCAACGUCCCGCUCGAUGUUUUCUCCGAAGAAAUCAAGUUCUACGAGCUGGGCGAGAUGGCUACCAACAAGUUCAGGGAGGACGAGGGCUUCAUUAAGGAGGAGGAGAAGCCGCUGCCGUCGCACGAGUUCCAAAGAAAAGUCUGGCUCCUGUUCGAAUAUCCGGAAAGCUCGCAGGGUGCCCGGGUGGUCGCUAUAAUCUCCGUGUUCGUGAUUCUCCUGUCGAUUGUGAUCUUCUGCCUGGAGACGCUACCUGAGUUCAAGCACUACAAGGUCUUCAACACAACGACAAAUGGCACGAAAAUUGAGGAGGACGAAGUGCCGGACAUCACGGACCCGUUCUUCCUAAUAGAAACUAUCUGUAUCAUCUGGUUCACGUUCGAAUUAACAGUGCGCUUCCUCGCCUGCCCAAAUAAAUUUAACUUCUUCCGUGACGUAAUGAACAUCAUCGACAUCAUCGCGAUCAUUCCAUAUUUCAUCACCCUCGCCACGGUAGUGGCCGAGGAAGAGGACACGCUGAAUUUACCCAAGGCGCCGGUAAGCCCGCAGGACAAAAGUACGAACCAGGCGAUGUCCUUGGCGAUACUCAGGGUGAUCAGGCUGGUCCGAGUGUUCCGGAUAUUCAAAUUAUCCAGGCACAGUAAAGGCCUCCAGAUCCUUGGGCGAACCCUCAAGGCCUCCAUGAGGGAACUCGGGUUGCUCAUCUUUUUCCUUUUCAUUGGUGUGGUGCUAUUCUCGUCGGCGGUAUACUUCGCGGAGGCCGGCUCCGAGAAUUCGUUCUUCAAGUCCAUUCCGGACGCGUUCUGGUGGGCCGUUGUCACGAUGACGACCGUGGGCUAUGGUGACAUGACGUAUGAUGCCCGUGGGAGUUUGGGGGAAAAUUGUGGGCUCGUUGUGUGCAAUCGCCGGUGUUUUGACGAUUGCUCUACCCGUUCCCGUAAUUGUCUCCAAUUUCAACUACUUCUAUCAUCGUGAAACUGACCAGGAAGAGAUGCAAUCGCAGAACUUUAAUCACGUGACUAGUUGCCCAUAUCUUCCUGGCACCUUAGGCUUGAAGAAGAUCUCGAUGUCGGAAUCAUCAUCGGAUAUAAUGGAGUUAGAGGAAGGCACUUUGUUUACUCAUCCGGAAA
rnacentral:misc_RNA from 1 species